rnacentral:rRNA from 1 species
UACGGAGGGUGCAAGCGUUGUCCGGAUUCAUUGGGUUUAAAGGGUGCGCAGGCGGGCGAUUAGGUCAGGGGUGAAAGACGGUUGCUCAACAAUCGCAGUGCCUUUGAUACUGGUUGUCUUGGGUGACCUUGAGGUAGGCGGAAUGGGUGGUGUAGCGGUGAAAUGCAUAGAUACCACCCAGAACUCCGAUUGCGAAGGCAGCCUACUGGAGGUUCACCGACGCUCAGGCACGAAAGCGUGGGGAUCAAACAGG